rnacentral:rRNA from 1 species
CGAGCACGCGCGUGUGGCAUAUCAAUAAGCGGAGGAAAAGAAACUAACAAGGAUUCCCCUAGUAACGGCGAGUGAAGCGGGAAGAGCUCAAAUUUGAAACCUUAAAGGGUUUCCCUUUACGAAUUGUAGUUUAAAGAAGUGUUUUCUGUUGGAGUUUCGGUAAAAGUUCUUUGGAAUAGGACAUCAUAGAGGGUGAGAAUCCCGUAUUUGUACAGUUCCUUCCUAGCUGUUGUGAUACACUUUCAACGAGUCGGAUUGUUUGGGAAUGCAGUCCAAAAUGGGUGGUAAAUUUCAUCUAAAGCUAAAUAUUGGCGAGGAGACCGAUAGCGAACAAGUACCGUGAGGGAAAGAUGAAAAGAACUUUGAAAAGAGAGUUAAACAGUACGUGAAAUUGUCAAAAGGGAAGCGUUUGACACCAGUGUUGUUUUCUCGAAAAUCAAUUCAUGAUGGCUUGAUGCUAGGUUGUUAUGACUUUAUCAGCAUACUGUCUAGUUUUCUUGUCUUUGUGAAUGCACUUUUCGUUUAACAAGUCAACAUCAAUUUCUUUUGUUGUAAAAGGGUCAUUGGAAGGUGGCUUUCACUUCGGUGAAAGUGUUUAUAGCCUUUGGCUUCUACAAUCGGAGAGAUUGAGGUCUGCAGCGUAGAUCCUUCGGGGUUAGAUACGUAGAUGCUAAGUUAUAGUUUUUUAUAGACAACUUGUUGACUAUGAUUAAUCAUGUAGCUUACUCGUUUACGCUAUUUUACCUACGCUUAGGAUGUUGAGUAGCGACAUACGCAC